rnacentral:rRNA from 1 species
GCGUACUCUCGGCUGGCUGAUGGGGGUAGACGGAGGUUGGGAGCGUUAAUCGGAGUUACUGGGCGUAAAGGUGGCGUAUGCGGCUGUUUAAGUCGCAUGGUAAAUACCGUAGCUUAACUUAGGAAUUGAAUUCGAGACUGGGAAGCUAGAGUAUGGGAGAGGAUGGUAGAAUUCCAGGUGUAGCGGUGAAAUGCGUAGAGAGCUGGAGGAAUACCGAUGGCGAAGGCAGCCAUCUGGCCUAAUACUGACGCUGAGGUACGAAAGCAUGGGGAGCAAACAGGAUUAGAUACCCCGGUAGUC